rnacentral:rRNA from 1 species
AUACGGAGGGUGCAAGCGUUGUUUGGAAUUACUGGGCGUAAAGCGCGCGUAGGCGGUCUGUUAUGUCAGAUGUGAAAGUCCUCGGCUCAACCGGGGAAGUGCAUUUGAAACUGGCAGACUUGAGUACUGGAGGGGGUGGUGGAAUUCCCGGUGUAGAGGUGAAAUUCGUAGAUAUCGGGAGGAAUACCGGUGGCGAAGGCGACCACCUGGCCAGAUACUGACGCUGAGGUGCGAAAGCGUGGGGAGCAAACAGGAUUAGAUACCCCGGUAGUCC